AGUCUACCUGCCCACUGAAUUUAUUUAAAUGGCCGCAGUAUCCUAACUGUGCAAAGGUAGCAUAAUCAUUAGUCUUUUAAUUGAAGGCUGGUAUGAAUGGUUGGACGAGAUAUUAACUGUUUCAUAAAAAUUUAUAAUAGAAUUUUAUUUUUUAGUCAAAAAGCUAAAAUAAAAUUAAAAGACGAGAAGACCCUAUAAAUCUUUAUAUAUAAACUAUUAGAAUUUUGUAGAUUUUUUUUAUUAUAAUAGUUGAUUAUAUUUUAUUGGGGUGAUAUUAAAAUUUAAUAAACUUUUAAUUGUUUAAAUCAUUAAUUUAUGAAUAAUUGAUCCGUUAAUAACGAUUAAAAAAAUAAGUUACUUUAGGGAUAACAGCGUAAUUUUUUUGGAGAGUUCAUAUCGAUAAAAAAGAUUGCGACCUCGAUGUUGGAUUAAGAUAUAAUUUUAGGUGUAGCCGCUUAAAUUUUAAGUCUGUUCGACUUUUAAAUUCUUACA
rnacentral:rRNA from 1 species